CUGACCCAAAGUCUGAGAAUGUGAAGCAAGUAGAACUUUACCAGACUUUACUUUUACUUCUAAAGAUAGAGGAGUCUUGCCGAGACGCUGUUAGAGAAUCAGAAGAAGAGGUCAAAGAAAUUCUAGCCAGUCGCUUAAAAGAAGAAGCCAAGCCUCAACUUGAGAUUUCAGUUUAUGAUACAGAAAGAAAUGAAAAAGCCAAGAAACAUAGAAGAGAUUUGG
rnacentral:sRNA from 1 species